rnacentral:rRNA from 1 species
AUUGAACGCUGGCGGCAGGUCUAACACAUGCAAGUCGAGCGGAUGAAGGGAGCUUGCUCCUGGAUUCAGCGGCGGACGGUUGAGUAAUGCCUAGGAAUCUGCCUGGUAGUGGGGGAUAACGUCCGGAAACGGGCGCUAAUACCGCAUACAUCCUGAGGGAGAAAGUGGGGGAUCUUCGGACCUCACGCUAUCAGAUGAGCCUAGGUCGGAUUAGCUAGUUGGUGGGGUAAAGGCCUACCAAGGCGACGAUCCGUAACUGGUCUGAGAGGAUGAUCAGUCACACUGGAACUGAGACACGGUCCAGAUUCCUAAGGAAGGCAGCAGUAGGGAAUUAUGGACCAUAGUCAAAAGAGUGAGCCAGCAAUGCGGCGUGUGUGAAGAAGGUCUUCGGAUGGUAAAACGCUGUUAGUGGGGAGGAAGGGCAGUAAGUUAAUCCCUUGCUGUUUUGACGUUACCAACAGAAUAAGCACCGGCUAACUUCGUG